CCAAAGCAUGCAUGUACUCAGGUUUGCGUCACGCACUGCGCACUGCAAGUCGGAGCACUGGAGAGUUAGCAACGCAAACUUUUGCAACCUCUAUCUACACGUGAGAGUUCUGAACGUGCCACGGGUGUAUGUUCAAGGGUCACGUGCUGUGAGCAGGACUGAAGAGCGGGUUGGCAGGGGAGAUCACUUGCUGUGUGAUUCCUGCGCGUGUACUUAUCCUGGCACAACGGCUGUGUAGAGAAAUCAAAGUCACUACUAUUGUCUAUACUGAUUGAGCUCUGAUAUGGACUUUGAUGUUGCUGUUGUCUCAGACACUGAAAGGCAGUUUUGUGUUGA